rnacentral:rRNA from 1 species
GUCGACGGCCAUCUUCUGAUUGACUGGCGGACGGGUGAGUAACGCGUAAGAAUCUAACUUCAGGACGGGGACAACAGUUGGAAACGACUGCUAAUACCCGAUGUGCCGCAAGGUGAAACCUAUUUGGCCUGGAAAAGACCUUGCGUCUGAUUAGCUAGUUGGGGGGGUAAGGGCCUACCAGGGCGACCAUCAGUAGCUGGUCUAAGAGGAUGAGCAGCCACGCGGGUGAUGAGACCCGGCCCAAAUUCCUAGGGGAGGCAGCGGUGGGGAAUUUUCCGCAAUGGGAAAAAUGCUGACGGAGCAACGCCCCGUGGAGGAGGAAGGUCUUUGGAUUGUAAACCUUUUUUCUCGAGGAAGAAGUUCUGACGGUACUAGAAGAAUCCGCCUCGGCUAACUCCGUGCCAGCCGCCUCGGUAAUACGGGGGAGGCAAGCGUUAAACGGAAUUAUUGGGCGUAAAGCUUCCGCGGGUGGUCAGCCAAGUCUGCCAUCACAUCGGGUUGCUUAACGACCUAAAGGCUGAGGAAACUGACUGACUAGAGAGCAGUAGGGGUAGCAGGAAUUCCCAGUGUAGCGAUUAA